GGAAGUAAAAAUCGUAACAAGGUCUCCGUUGGUGAACCAGCGGAGGGAUCAUUACUGAGUUUACGCUCUAUAACCCUUUGUGAACAUACCUAUAACUGUUGCUUCGGCGGGUAGGGUCUCCGUGACCCUCCCGGCCUCCCGCCCCCGAUCGGGUCGGCGCCCGCCGGAGGAUAACCAAACUCUGAUUUAACGACGUUUCUUCUGAGUGGUACAAGCAAAUAAUCAAAACUUUUAACAACGGAUCUCUUGGUUCUGGCAUCGAUGAAGAACGCAGCGAAAUGCGAUAAGUAAUGUGAAUUGCAGAAUUCAGUGAAUCAUCGAAUCUUUGAACGCACAUUGCGCCCGCCAGCAUUCUGGCGGGCAUGCCUGUUCGAGCGUCAUUUCAACCCUCAAGCUCUGCUUGGUGUUGGGGCCCUACAGCUGAUGUAGGCCCUCAAAGGUAGUGGCGGACCCUCCCGGAGCCUCCUUUGCGUAGUAACUUUACGUCUCGCACUGGGAUCCGGAGGGACUCUUGCCGUAAAACCCCCAAUUUUCCAAAGGUUGACCUCGGAUCAGGUAGGAAUACCCGCUGAACUUAAGCAUAUCAAUAAGCCGGAGG
rnacentral:rRNA from 1 species